CCUACGGGAGGCAGCAGUGAGGAAUAUUGGUCAAUGGUCGCAAGACUGAACCAGCCAUGCCGCGUGCAGGAAGACGGUCCUAUGGAUUGUAAACUGCUUUUAUACAGGAAGAAACCCUCCCACGUGUGGGAGCUUGACGGUACUGUAGGAAUAAGGAUCGGCUAACUCCGUGCCAGCAGCCGCGGUAAUACGGAGGAUCCAAGCGUUAUCCGGAAUCAUUGGGUUUAAAGGGUCCGUAGGCGGUCUUAUAAGUCAGUGGUGAAAGCCCAUCGCUCAACGAUGGAACUGCCAUUGAUACUGUAAGACUUGAAUGCUUAGGAAGUAACUAGAAUAUGUAGUGUAGCGGUGAAAUGCUUAGAUAUUACAUGGAAUACCAAUUGCGAAGGCAGGUUACUACUAAGUGAUUGACGCUGAUGGACGAAAGCGUGGGGAGCGAACAGGAUUAGAUACCCUUGUAGUC
rnacentral:rRNA from 1 species